AAGUCGUAACAAGGUAACCGUAGGUGAACCUGCGGUUGGAUCAUUACAAAAUGAUGGGUCUUGAAAGCGUGUAAGUCCGUCUAGUUUUUAGGUAGAUGUAAUGUCCCUAGUAAUUGUGAUGGGCUGAAAACUUUCAAGACUUAAUUAACCCUUUGUGCACAAAAAUGUUUUUUGGGUUGGCUUCAUUAGAGGCGAGCCCAGCAUAUUAUGUCUGCGAGUCACGCAAGUGUUAGUAGGCGUAAGUAAACACCUUUUUUAAUUUGACUGAAUUUUUUUGAAAUAUAAAAAAUAACAACUUUUGACAACGGAUCUCUUGGCUCUC
rnacentral:misc_RNA from 1 species